rnacentral:rRNA from 1 species
AACGUACGCUGGCGGCACGCCUAACACAUGCAAGUCGAACGAAGUAGCAAUACUUAGUGGCAGACGGGUGAGUAACAUGUGGGUAUCUGCCCUUUGGCCUGGAAUAACACGAGGAAACUUGUGCUAAUACCGGAUAAGUCUUUACGGAGAAAGCUUUAUGCACCAUUGGAUGAGCCCGCACUUGAUUAGUUUGUUGGUGGGGUAAUGGCCUACCAAGACUGUGAUCAAUAGCUGAUUUGAGAGGAUGAUCAGCCACAUUGGGACUGAGACACGGCCCAAACUCCUACGGGAGGCAGCAGUGGGGAAUCUUGCACAAUGGAGGAAACUCUGAUGCAGCGAUGCCGCGUGAGUGAAGAAGGCCCUUGGGUUGUAAAGCUCUUUCGUCGGGGAAGAAAAUGACUGUACCCGAAUAAGAAGGUCCGGCUAACUUCGUGCCAGCAGCCGCGGUAAUACGAAGGGACCUAGCGUAGUUCGGAAUUACUGGGCUUAAAGAGUUCGUAGGUGGUUGAAAAAGUUAGUGGUGAAAUCCCAGAGCUUAACUCUGGAACUGCCAUUAAAACUUUUCAGCUAGAGUAUGAUAGAGGAAAGCAGAAUUUCUAGUGUAGAGGUGAAAUUCGUAGAUAUUAGAAAGAAUACCAAUUGCGAAGGCAGCUUUCUGGAUCAUUACUGACACUGAGGAACGAAAGCAUGGGUAGCGAAGAGGAUUAGAUACCCUCGUAGUCCAUGCCGUAAACGAUGUGUGUUAGACGUUGGAAAUUUAUUUUCAGUGUCGCAGCGAAAGCGAUAAACACACCGCCUGGGGAGUACGACCGCAAGGUUAAAACUCAAAUGAAUUGACGGGGACCCGCACAAGUAGUGGAGCAUGUGGUUUAAUUCGAAGAUACGCGCAGAACCUUACCAACACUUGACAUGUUCGUCGCGACUCUAAGAGGUUAGAGUUUUCGGUUCGGCCGGACGAAACACAGGUGCUGCAUGGCUGUCGUCAGCUCGUGUCGUGAGAUGUUGGGUUAAGUCCCGCAACGAGCGCAACCCUCACUUUUAGUUGCCAUCAUUAAGUUGGGCACUCUGAAAGAACUGCCAGUGAUAAGCUGGAGGAAGGUGGGGAUGACGUCAAGUCCUCAUGGCCCUUACGUGUUGGGCUACACACGUGCUACAAUGGUAUCUACAACAGGAAGCAAGACUGCGAGGUCAAGCAAAUCCUUAAAAGAUACCUCAGUUCGGAUUGCACUCUGCAACCCGAGUGCAUGAAGCUGGAAUUACUAGUAAUCGUGGAUCAGCGUGCCACGGUGAAUGCGUUCCCGGGUCU